rnacentral:misc_RNA from 1 species
GUGAAUCAUCGAAUCUUUGAACGCAAAUUGCACUCUCUUCUGAGAGUAUGCCUGUUUGUGUUCCAGCCUAAAAUAUAUCGACGUAGUCUCUUUGUCGCGGUGACAUUCGUCGGUAGUUGUGUCGUCGUAUACCUUUAGGUUUUUUAAGCGGCUUAAAAUUUUCUUUACGAUGCCACGAACGUUUCUAAGAUUUACUUACACGUUUAAGCUAUCGAUCUUUAUUAUUCGUGACUUUUGCAUUGGAACCAGG